CAAUGACCUCCUCCUAGUAACAUCUCAAAAACGUAUAUACAUGUAUAUGUGCAUCUCUGCGCCCAAGUGUCUUUCAACAAGUAACGGUGAAGGGGGAAAAAUCUGCUCAAGUUUAAAUUCUUUGCAAUAAUUUAAAGUAUUAAGAAAGAACACAACGUAGACAAAUAUAUAACGGCAGAGAUCGAGAGAAGAAAAAAAAAAACAUUAGCUAAGUUUGACCGAUCCGCACAAAAAAUGCACAGGUCACGACCUUAGCUUGAGCAUCCCAUCAUGAAGGAAUUUAACUCUUUGCAACAACGCCGACAGACCUGAUCUCACAUCCUAGUCAUCAAUCACACGUUAGUAUCUACGUCUCCGCUCAAUGCAAGUUGUGAACUUCAUGGUUUAACCGCAUAUGCAUCGCGAAAACUGAAACGUCCGCUGUCGCGCAACGCUGAUGCAUGCAAUAACAUCCCGAAGAUCAUUUCAGGAUAUGCUCCAGGCUAACGAAGCAGGCAGGGAUGAAAGACGGAUGGAUCAGACCCUCUGUAUUGGCAGGUGAUAUGCGGUCGCUUAUAAUACCACGUCAUGCUGGAUGUCUGCAUCAGGAUCACUGGCUCACUGUACCCCCGUGCUGGAUGAGAAGGUGGAAGGAAAAACACAAAAUUGACCAAAGUGUGUGAUGGGGG